rnacentral:rRNA from 1 species
AUCUGUGGCCACACCACCCUGAACACGCCCGAUCUCGUCUGAUCUUGGAGGUAAGCAGGGUUGGGCCUGGUUAGUACUUAGUACUUGGAUGGCCUGAUA